UACGUAGGGGGCAAGCGUUGUCCGGCUUUAUUGGGCGUAAAGAGCGUGUAGGCGGCCAGACAGGUCCGUUGUGAAAACUCGAGGCUCAACCUCGAGACGUCGAUGGAAACCGUCUGGCUAGAGUCCGGAAGAGGAGAGUGGAAUUCCUGGUGUAGCGGUGAAAUGCGCAGAUAUCAGGAAGAACACCUAUGGCGAAGGCAGCUCUCUGGGACGGUACUGACGCUGAGACGCGAAAGCGUGGGGAGCGAACAGG
rnacentral:rRNA from 1 species